GACUGGAGGGUUGACAUCUUCUGUAAUCACGCUUCUGUGUGGUCGGGUUGUGGAUGUAAUGGCCUGAGGCUGGGAAUCACUGUGUAGCGGACCAGCUCAUGUUGACGGCACGUCCGCACUAAGCUUGCCAUCAAUAUGGGUGCCAUGGAGGAGUCCGCGGCAUUCAGGUUGGCUAAGGAGGGAUGAACCGGGCCAGGGGUGAAAACCAGCAGCCAAGAGUUCCCGUGGUAGGCAGUAGUGGGAUAGCGUACCGGAGUGAACUGCCAUCGCCAGCCCACCAACAUGGUUGGACCACAAUCUCU
rnacentral:SRP_RNA from 1 species